rnacentral:rRNA from 1 species
UAGGGAAUCUUCGGCAAUGGACGAAAGUCUGACCGAGCAACGCCGCGUGAGUGAAGAAGGUUUUCGGAUCGUAAAACUCUGUUGGUAGAGAAGAACAAGGACGUUAGUAACUGAACGUCCCCUGACGGUAUCUAACCAGAAAGCCACGGCUAACUACGUGCCAGCAGCCGCGGUAAUACGUAGGUGGCAAGCGUUGUCCGGAUUUAUUGGGCGUAAAGCGAGCGCAGGCGGUUUCUUAAGUCUGAUGUGAAAGCCCCCGGCUCAACCGGGGAGGGUCAUUGGAAACUGGGAGACUUGAGUGCAGAAGAGGAGAGUGGAAUUCCAUGUGUAGCGGUGAAAUGCGUAGAUAUAUGGAGGAACACCAGUGGCGAAGGCGGCUCUCUGGUCUGUAACUUACGCUGAGGCUCGAAAGCGUGGGGAGCAAACAGG